rnacentral:rRNA from 1 species
GUGCCAGCCGCCGCGGUAAUACAGAGGGGGCAAGCGUUAUUCGGAAUUAUUGGGCGUAAAGGGCGCGUAGGCGGUUUCUUAAGUCGGAUGUGCAAUCCCCGGGCUCAACCUGGGAACUGCAUCCGAGACUGGGAGGCUAGAGUACUGGAGAGGGUGGUGGAAUUCCUCGUGUAGCGGUGAAAUGCGUAGAGAUGAGGAGGAACACCAGUGGCGAAGGCGGCCACCUGGACAGUAACUGACGCUGAGGCGCGAAAGCGUGGGUAGCAAACAGGAUUAGAUACCCUGGUAGUCCACGCUGUUAACGAUGAACACUUGGUGUGCCGGGAGUUGACCCCCGGCGUGCCGGAGCUAACGCGUUAAGUGUUCCGCCUGGGGAGUACGGUCGCAAGGCUGAA